rnacentral:lncRNA from 1 species
UCUUUUUUUUUGUGAAUUACAAAAGGAGGGCACAGCCCUAGUAACAACGCGAUUAAUAUGAUUCAAACUCAGAUCACAUCUGGGGCGAUAAACACUCUAACCAACCAUCAAACCGGUACACAAGUUUAAAAAAUCCCAAAAUUUGAGUUAAAGCAAGGUGGCAAAAUCAAAAUCCUUUUCUUGUAAGAAAACAAAAAGAAAUUAGAAAAAUGAAUUUGGGGUUGUUAAUUUCUUGCUUGUGUUAGUAUCAACAAACCUACUUUUUUUUUUUACAAACAAACAAAAAAGAGAAAACACAAAGAUUCUCUAUCAAAUUCUUCAUUAAAAUUAAGCCUUAAUAAUAACUAUGUUGAAUUCAUUGCAUGCAUUCAGCAUUCUUGUUAUGGUCGAUGAUUACUUUGAAUGUGACGUCGUUUAUGUUAUAUAUAAAUAACAAAAACAUAAAUUUAUUAUGAUUUAGCUCUUUCAAAAUGUUAAAAUUAUAGUUUAAUCCUUUUAAAAAUUAUAAUUCUAUUUUAAUCUCUCAAAAAUUUUAUAGCUUUACACCUUAAAAGUUUUAACCGGAAAUAGUUAUGGAAAAUUAUAUGAUACAUUACUUGUGGUGUUUUAAAACUUCAGAAUCACGAUUUGGAGAAUAACACGUAUCAAUUUAGAGUAUUACGAAAAUUAAAUUUAAUUUUUUUUUGAAAAAAAUGAGAAUCACAUGUUAAUACCUUUAAUAUAUUAGAUAAUUUUUUAAAAAAUUAACUAUUUUUAGAAUUAUUUAUUUCGAUUGAAUUAUUAUAAAAUUAACUCGUGUCAUCGAAUUUAUUCGAAAAUUUUGAUUUAAAAUAAAGAUAGAUUAUUUUCAUAAGAAAAAGACUAAACCCCAAGUAAAGCAAAAGAAAUCUUUUAGUCAUUGCUUUCAAGAUAAUAUACAUAUAUAUAUUCUUUUUGUUUACUUUGUGUAUACAUACAAUCACAAUGAAAUCAACCCCUUCUAACCCCAAAUCCCAUAAAUUUAAACCAAACAAUAUUUCCCUACCACCACCAACACACUUUUGUUUUCUUUUCAAUUUUAUCCCCCAAACCCUCCCUACAAGACAUUUUUUCUUGUUGUCAAUUAAGCCCCCAAAAUUAUUGCAAAGCUUAAUCAAAGACAAAAGGGAACCCCCCCCCCCAAAAAAAAAGAAAAAAAAAAAAAGAAGACCUUUGUAUACAAAUAUUCACCUAAUUGACACAUCUAAAAAUACCCCCUUUCACCUCUAUUAAUAAUAAAUAAAUAAAUAACCCUUUACCUUUCAAUGUCCAUAAUUGCAUACCCUUUUCCCAUGUGAAUAAACCCUUUGGUGGGUUCACCUUGUUUAUUGCUUCCCUUUUGAGAUUCAACGUCUUCUUCUUCUUCUUCUUCUUCUUCACCAAGUUCAAAGUGAUCAUUUUCAUGGCUUUUCAAUGUUGAAUACUCAACUUUUUGACCAUAUAAUUUGACCAAAACAAGAUAAAAGGUCAUAGCAAAAAUGGUAACACCAAUCAAAGCCCAACUAAAUUCUAUAUUGACUAAUGACUUAGCUCUAUGAAGUGCUUCAUCACUUGAACAUUUAACCACUUGGUGCCCCACUUCUAAAUGGAUGAAACAACCUUUAGGGAUCAAGUUUGGGGUCCAAAGCAUAAACCCCAUGGUCAUAAGCCAUAACCCUUGGUACAAAAUGCUAAGAGACCUAAUGAAACUAACCAUAAAGCUCUUUGGGUACCCAAUUCCCAUUAAAGUUGUGAUUAAAGACACAACUAUAGCGCUUUGUAAUAGCAAAUGGUAUUGGCCUUCAACUCCCAUAUGAUCAGCUGAGUGAAGAUGGAACAGAAACAGCUGUUGGGCAAAGGCAAUUGCUCCAAGGAAUUGUGUUAAGCUAUGCUUAAACAUAAGGUCGAUAUUGAUGCUAGUUUUGUCAAGGACUAUGGAAAAAGCAGCAUAUAUGAAGAAAGUCAUUGAUAUAGCUGAGUGUUCAAAGUUAUGAAGAUGGUUAGAUGGGAUGGUUCCAUCAGUGUCAAAAGGUUGAUGCUUUGCUGGACCAAUGAAAAGCUCCAUUGAUAUGGAGAUUGAUGAACCAACCAUGAUCAAAACCAGCUCCAAGUACCUAAAUUUCAAGGUUGGGAACCAUGGGAAAGAUGUGUAUGAAUUUGGGUUUAAAGAAUGAAGCUUGAUGUGAUUGAAAAGAUGCCAAAACCCAAGUGCAAAAAAUGCAAAACCCGGUGCAACAUGUCCCACUAAAGUACCCAUUUUUUUUUCCCAAGGCAAAACAAAAAGAAGGACUUGUUUGGAGGGAGAGAAAAGGAGGGAAAAAGAAGGUUUUUUGAUGAAGGAAAAUUGAUGGGGUGAUGAAGGGAGGGGGUUUAGUUUUUAAGGGGGAUGGGUUGAGUUGAAUUUCUAAGGACUCUAGAGGGUUCCAUUGAGAAGGGCUUUCAAAGUUUUGAACUUUAGUAUAUGAAAAUUUUAGAUAAGGAAUGUGAAGAUUAAACAAAGUUGACCAUCUUUAAGUUUCUUAAUUUUUAGCUAAGAUGGCCUCUUGUUUUUCUAGAAUACAUAAUUUUCAUACCAACAAUCAAAACCCCCUUUUUGACAUGACUAGAAUUAGCCUAUUUUGAGUUCAAAAGGGUCAUACUGUUUCUAUGAUUUGAUAGAUUAGGCUUAUCAGGGUGAGGUAAAAAUAUAAUUUUCUGGAGGAGAUAAGGAUGAAAUUAGAACUUUCUUUUAAGGUUUAAAAUUGAUUUUCAAAAUUUUGAAGAUUGAUGUGUAAUUUUAUUAAAUAUUAAUUUAUAAUUACAUGAUUUUUAAAUGGACUAUAUUGAAAUUUCACCAUAUUUUGGAGGGGGUGAUGGCCCUCGCAUGCCCUCUCUAGUGAUGUCCCUGGACGGAGAGCCAAAAGUUAAAAAAAUAAAAAAUAAAAAGAGUUAAAUUGAAGUAUAUAUUUUCUUUAAGGACUAAAAUUGCAUUUUUACUAUUUUAUUUACAGGGGCUAAGAUCACUAUCUAUCCCUUUCGGAUUUAUCACAAAUUUAAUAUAAUCUAUAUAUUAUUUUUUAGGUAUAAUAUUUGAUACACUUAUCUGUAAAUAUUAAUGGGAUAAAUUUAAUGCUUAUAGAUUUUAUAUAAUUUAACCUAAAAAAACCCUUUAAUAUUUAUAUUUUUAUCAAUUUAGACUUAAUUCUAAAAAAUUAACAAAUUCAACCUAAACAAUUACAUGUUUACACAAAUAUUACAAGAUAAAUUUGUUAAAUUAAACUAAAUUGACAGAAUGUGUAAAAAUUAAGGGUUAAAUUUGUUAUUAUACCAAUCAAAACUACAUGCAAUUGAGGUAAAAUAUUAUCGUUGUAAUUAAUUAUCCUUAGUUGCUACUUUCGAAAUUGACAAUGAUUAAAUUGUUUAGAUUUCUUUUGAAAAUGACUAAUUUACUCAAUUUCGAAAUUGACAGGGACUAGAGAGAUCUUUUUACUUACUUUUUUUUAACUCAAUAUGACUUUUUUUUUUAACAUUUAAGGUUAAUUUGAAAUUGCUUUUGAACAUUGUGAUCUAAAAAUUUAAGUAUUUAAUAUUACUGUAAAAAAAAUAUCGUGAAAAGUUAAAAUGUUCACCUAUGAUGUAAAGGAAAAACAAAUUAAUUUAAAUGAAAUUUCAUAUUAUGAAAUUAAUUUAAGUGUUAAUAUUAUGAUAUAUAUAUAUGAAAUAUCAAUGGUAAAUAUGUUUAAGCAAUUAAUAUAAAUUAAUUGUAAAUUUAAUUUCAAUUUAUAAGUCAUAUCUUAAAUAUUAAAAUCCCGUAUAAAUAUAACUCUUAUGUUUUUAAUAAAAAUUUAUUUUUAUUUUUGAUAUAAUAAUUUAUUUGAUCUUUCAAUUUUAUAAAAAAUAUUAUUUUAACCCUCAAUUUAUUUUUUCGUCUCUUUUAGCCAUUAAACUUGCAUUAUUUUCUGACAUGUCAGUCCAUGUAUAUACCGCGUUAGCAAUUAAUGUUGUGUAUGCCACAUAAGCAAAGUUAACAGAUAUUAACUUUUCCAUCUAUUUUGGAGUGAUUUAACAAACAAUACAAAUUUAAAAGCUAAAAGAGAUGAAAAAUUAAAUGAAAUGCUAAAAUAAUUUUUUUGUAAAGUCGAAGGACUAAACAAAACAUUAUACCUUUAUUUUUCAAAAAUCACCUUUUUUUUGUUUUUAAAAUUUCUAACCCAACAUGUUUUUUUCUAAUCUUUUCAUUUUCCAAGAAAAUAAAAACAAAAAUGACAUCUUUUUCCCACUUUUAAAGUUUUUUAAAAAUUGAAUAAAUAACAAAAUUCUUCCAAUUUUCAAUCCAAAUAUUUAUUUUUUUUAAAAAAAUAGUAAUUUAAAAUUUUUUAAAAAUAAGAAUGUAUUCAAAUUAUUUAAAUAUUAAAAUUUUAAAAUAAAAGAUUAAAUUGACGAGAAGCAUGUGUUUCAUGCUUGGGUCAUCAAUAAAAGUUGAAACGUUACGAAAGAAACGUACAAGUUUGCUAUUGCUUUCAUGUAGGCCACUAUUUAGGUUGCUUCUCGUGGGGCAUAUUUAUGAAAUUUUAAUUUUGGCUGCUAUUAUUAUUUAAUUCCAAACUAAAUAAUAUUACGUGAAGCUCAAACAAAACCAAUAUAUUUUUCCAAUAAUUUUAUUAUUUUUUUAUUUUCAGGAUAAAAUUAUUGGGUUUUUUUAAUAAUAAUUUUUUUUUGAGUACGACUAUGUUUUUCUUGGUUCCUUUAGAGUAUUGUUCAACCCAAAUAGAAUUUUUGAGAUGUUUAUUAUGUAUUAAUUCGUAAUUUUAUUAUUUUUGAAGAGUUUAAAUAGAAUUUUUUUAUUUUUUGGGGGUCAAAUAUGGUUAUUUAUAAAAAUUAGAACUACAAUAGUCUAUUUUUUAUGGGCCAAGGCCUUACUUGUCUCCCUUGUAUUUGCCACUGCUUAAAAUUAAUGUUUUUUAAAAUCGAACUAGUAGUUGAACCAGUUAGAUCACCUAUUGGAUUAAUAAAUUAUUAAAUAUAUAUAUAUAAACCUAGUUCAACCGGUCUAUAUUGAUUCGUAAGUUAUAUAAGAGACCAAAAAUUAAUAUCUACGAUAAAUUUGGAAUAAAUGCAAACAAAAACCUUAUAUAUCCAUUAUCUGAAUCUAUAUCGUUUAUUCAUAUAACAAAUGCGAAUUCAGAUUCGAAUAUUUGAACCCAUUGAUUAUAUAAUGCUAAUGAUUUUUAUUUUUUAUAUAUUAAAAAAGAAUUUUAGCAAAGUUACAGAUUCAAACGUCCGACUUACUGUUAUUCUUAUGAAAACUAAGAUAUUAUUAGGGGUGUUCAAUCGGUUAACUGACCCGAAUUAUCAUUAACUGAAUUAACUGACCCUUUUAAACCCAUAACCCUUAAUCAAACCGAAUUUUUUCAGUUAAUUCGGUCGGUUAAUCAAAUUAACUAAAAUUUAUAUUUUUUUUUGUUAAAACAAGUAUAAAACAUAUAAAAAAUUAAUCGAAUUCAAUAUAAGUAAAAUGUAUAUAAAAAAUAUAAAUUUUUGGUUAAUUCAGUUAAUUAACCGAUUUCAAACCAAAUUAAUCGUUAACCGAACUUCCAAAAAAUUAUUAACUAACCGACUAACUGAAUUCGAUCGGUUAACCGAAUUAAUUCGAUUUUACCCAAAAUUUGUACACCCUUAGAUAUUAAUUCACGUCUCAUCAUAUGUAAUUCACAUGUGUGGGUUCUCUCUAAAUUUUACCUUAUUUAAAUCUCACAAUAAAUUAAUUUUGUCUAGAUUUAUUCCGAUAUAAAUUCAAAUAUAUUUCAAUUACUCUAACUAUAAUCAUUAAGAAAUAUUAUUUGCAAUUAUACUUACAAAUUCCCCAAAGUCAAAAGGAUUUAUGCUUAUCAAUUUGGCCAACCUACCUUAAUUAUCUAGGAUUACCUUACCCUAUACGCAUUAUUUUAGAACCAUAUUCGUCUAAUUAAUUCUUUAAAAUUUCUCCUAAGAACCCCAAAAGUUUUCUUUAUUUCUAAUUUUCGGUCAUAAUCAAGCAAAUAAGUUACAAUUUGGUCCACAUGCAAUAAGAAAAUUAGGAAAAUAUUAAAGUUUUUGGACUCCUUUUUCCCCCAAAGGAAUUUUCCUCCUUAAGCUGCCAUGUUAAUUGACAUAAAUUUUUUUUAUGGAAUAAUUAAUUAUUAAUAUAUUUUCUAACAAGUAAUUUUUACAAUUUUUUGUUUUAGAAUAAAAAAAGGGGUAAACUACAAAAAUAAUAAUUUUUGUUUGCCUCAAAUUACAUUUUAGUCACUUAUAUUUGAAAUGUUACGUUUUAGUCACUUACGUCAUCGUUUUGUUAUGAAGUGGUCACUUUUUACUGUUAAAUUUUGUUAUCUCCCUAAAGGUGGUCCUACCUGGCAGUCCAAAUUAAAUUUAUUUAAUUAAAACCUAUUUUCAUCCUAGCAACUAGACAUCCAAGUUGGCAUUUAAAACCCAUUUGGACAGCUAUGUAGGACUGUCGUUAGGGAGGUAAUAGAAUUUAACGGUAAAGUAACCACUUUGUAACAAAACGAUAAUGUAAGUGACUAAAAUGUAACAUUUCAAACAUAAGUGACUAUUUGUGUAAUUUACCCUAAAAAAAGAGAGAAAAUAGAUACUAUACAUUGAACUUUGGAGAUUCCAAUUCAGCUGUACUUUAAGGAAAUUAUUAUUUUCUUUUUAUUUUCUAUGUUUCUAAAAAAGACUGCCAAAUAGCCAACGGGGACAUGGAAAUUUCUUUUAUCUUUCAAUAAAAGAACUUGAAAAUGACAAUGUUGGAUUUAUGGCUAUCAUUGAGUAAUUACUCGAUGGUCCAAUUUGUUUUAAGUCCUUGUAUUUUUUGGAUUUUUAAAAUUUAGUCAUUCUAUUUUGAUCUAAAAACACUAUUAACUGACUCCUAUUAAACUUAAAUACACGUUUUCCAUUGCACUUUUAACUUUUUAAAUCAAACAAGUAGAGGGAUUAAAUUUCAAACAUCCAAAGAAUACAAGGACUAAGAGCGUAAUUAAACUUGUUUGAUGUAAUUAUAUAGUUAAAUUUAAUAAUUGAUAUAUCAAGGUAUUAAUCAUAUAAAAAAAAUAUAAAUAUUGAUUAUAUUAAAUUUAAUAAAAUAAAUAGUUUAAUUUUUCAGUGAGUCAACUUCCAAGCAAAAUCAGAUUUUGCUGAUUUGAAUCAUAAAAUAGUUUUGAGUUGAAUUUUGGAUUAAUUUAAGUCUGAUGUCGAGUUGUGUUUGUAAUUGUGUUAUUUUGCUUAAGCUUGCACGCAAUUUCCUUUCCUCAUAGCCAUCUUUGUACAUUUCCCUCACAUGCCCCUCUAAAACCUUAGCAAAAACUAUACAAGUUUUGAAAAUAAUAUAAAAUCUUUUUUUUUUCUUUAAAUUGAUUUCAAAACAAAAAUCGAAAUUAAGUAUAUAUCUUAUGUGUUCAUUUUUCGAUGAUCGUGAGUUUUCCUGUAUAUGCAUACAAAUGUGAUUGAUUGGUAUAGUUCUUUAGCGACAUUAAAAGAGAAAAAUACAUUCACGUUAUCAACAUGAUAUGAUCUAAUAAAAAAUGGUGAGUUUAUUGCUAAAGCAUAUUGUGCUAAAAAUGCGAAUGUAUUAUCUUUUUUGAGUGUUGUUGCGUUGAAGAACAACCGUUAAAAAAACAACACAUUCAUAAGGUUUUGUCCCCUGAUUUUGAUUAGAGUUUAUCGGUACUCACUAAUAAUUCAUCAUCUUGAGGGAAAUUGUUAUUUGUAAUCACUUUAUUAAGUAACUUUAUCGAGUAAAUCAGGCUGACUAGGGGAACAAGGAGGAGCUAGUACAACUUAGAGUCAAUGAGAUACCUCACUUGACACGGCAUGAUCACAAUGAUCAAGCUAUGUCCUUCAUUGAUACCUCUCUCUAGCAUGUUCAAAAUGUGGGCCUUUACCAAGUUACAUCAAGGCCGACUUAAACAGCUCUAUGACGAGUCCUGAGACCAUUUAGGCGGUUCCAAAGAAAAUUGACAACCUCCCCAAUCAAAUCUCCACCAUAGCCAAGGGUGAAUCUAAUUUUUUUUUAACAGGGGUUGGAAUUGAAUUUUAAAUUUUUAAGAGGUCAAGAUAUAAUUUAAUUUUUUUAUUAAUUUAUGAUUUCAUUAUUUUUGGAAAAGAUUAAACAUUUUUUUCAUUUUGGGGACCAAAGUACAAUUUUACCAUAUAUAAAUUUAUUAUAAUAAUAUUCUACAUUGGGUAUAUUUAAUUACAAAUUAACUCCAAUUAUAGUGCAUAUUUCUUAAUUAAUUAAUAACUAAUUGCUUUAAAUAUUUUAGACGUCAACACAUGAACAUGUCUCCAAUUGUGGUACAUCUUUCGUAAUUACUGAUCAAUUGCUUUAAAUCCAAUUAGAAUUAGUCAUGUGGUCCAAAUUGUAAGAAUUAUUUUUUUCUCAAUAAUAUUAUAUAAAAAAACAUAAAAAAAUUUCAAUUAGUUUCGUAAGCCUCUCGCAUUGAAUAUUAAAUUGUUUACACUAAACCCUUUUUAAAUUCCAUCCCUCUACUUUAUAAAAAUUUUAAAAAAUUAAUUUUAUCAUAUUUUGAUCUAAAGGUGAUUGUUCGAUCAAAUCAAGUGAAAAUUUUUUGAGUUAAUUGAGUUCAUGAAUCAUAUUUUAUCAUCCUAACUCAAUUUGAAAUUUUUUCGAAUCGAGUCGAGUGAAAUAAAAUUCGAAUCGAUUCCAAUCUAGUGAAAUUGUUUGAGUUAAAUUAAAAAAAUUAAACAUGUCAAAUAAAAAUAUCGUUACAGUAUAACUAAUUUAAUGUUAGAACACGUAAAUUUGAAACCAUAUAUAUUUGAAAAAAAAUUUCAAAGCAAAAAAUUGAAAAAAAAAGAAAAGAUAUUUGAGUAUGAUAAAUUUGAAUCAUUAAUUAGGUCCCAAAAUUACUAAUUUAGAAAAUUUUUAAAAUAUUUUUUUUUGUAAUUUUUGUUGUAAGAGAGACCAAUUUGCUUAUUUUUAAAGCUGACAGGGACCAAAAGAGUAUUUAUAGUUAUUCGAAUUAUUUGAGUUAUUCGAAUUGUGAAAUUCAACUCAACUCAAACUCAAAACUCGAAUCGAGCUAUUCGAGUUGAUUUGAAUAAUUCAAAUAACUUGAUUUGGUUAACUCGGAAUUCGAAAUUUUUUCGAUUUUUUGGAUUGAGUCGAAUUUUGCUCACCCCUAUUUUGAUCAUUAUAUUUUAUGAAAAUUGAGAAAGUAGUCUAAUUGGUGAUAAAUAUAAUAACUUGAAUUUUCUAUUCUUACUAAUAUAUUACAUAUGCAUUGCUUAAAUUCCGAUUUGUGUUAAUUCUUUGCAAAUAAAUUAUUGAACUAUUGAUUUUUAGGUCAACGAUUUAAUGAUAAGGUUUAAUAGUGUUUGCCAAUAAUUGGAUUAACUUCUUAAUUUUUGUAAAGUAGAGAGAUGAAAUUCGGAAUUAAACCAUAUUGAAUUAUAAAAUUAGUAUAUAUAUAUAUAUAUAUAUAUAAUUCUUUAACAAUUAUUGCUAAUGAGGCAUUAGUUGUGUUAGCAAUGUUGAGAUUUUGAGUUCCACUCUAUGUAAUUCUGUCUAGAUUUAUUCUAAUUUAUAUCGGGCAACGUAAAAACAAUAUUUAGAAUUAUUCUCAUCUAGAUCCUAUUUUUGUAAUAAUUGAUAUAUAUUAUUUUUAUAAUUGUACAUAAUUAUACUUGUAACUUAAGAAAAUCUCUUUAACAAUUAUUCAAAAUCCACAUUUCCAACAUGCAUAUGAUAUUAAAAUAUGAAACUAAAUUAUUUUAUGAGAUUGUAAUUGAUCCUUAAAAAUCUCAGAGAUUGUGGGGCAAAUCAUGUUUUUAAUUAUUCUUUUUCUUUGAUUAUUGUUUCAAUUAUAUCAUUUAUCCACUUUGCGGUGAUGAUGUGGUAUAAUUUUAUAAAUUAAUGUGAACAAAAAUAAUUCAAGGACUAAAUUGGGUAAAAUUAACAAAUUCAGGGACUAAAUGUUGUUUUAUCCCUUUACUUUUUAAAAUAAAUAAAACUACUAAAACCAUAGGUGUCACUGAGUUUGAGUGAUAUUAAAUUCAAUCAAAAGCAUUACAUAUAAUUAAAUUGCAGUACAUGCACGAUAUGGAUGAAAAAAAUUAUGUAACAAAUAUAUAAAAAUUGAAAAUAAAAUUAAAUGUGACUUUGAUCAAAGCUGUAAAAAUGUAAAACUCAUGAUAUUUUGAGUUCAAAACAUAUGAUUCUUAACGUGUAUGUAUUCUUCUAAAUUUAUCAAAAAUAUAUAAAAAAAAAUUCCCAGAAUAAUAUUUGUUGCAUUGUAAAAGGAAUAGUUUGUUUCUAAUUUCAUAAUUGAGUUGGGACUUAGUUGAUCGGUAAUAUCAACUCAGUCAAGUACACUAUAAUAAUACUAGAUUAUGGCGUAUCUGAAAUGAAAAUAGAAUCAUAUAAUAAAUAUAUUUAUUAAAAUCGAUAUAGAUAACAAAUAAGGAUUUGACUGAAUGGUAAAGUACAAAUGUUGAAAACUAUAGAAACAUAAGUUUAAAUCUAAUUAAGUAUAUAUAUUUUAUACAAAAAAAUAUAUAAAAUAACAAAGACCUCAAAAUAAUGUAUUUUAGUUUUUAUAUAGUAUAGGUAUAGAUAUAUCACAAUUGUGUAUAUUUAUUCUAAUUAAUUCCAUUUUAGUGUUUAUUUUUAUAUUUAUUUAUUUAUAUAAUUUUUUUAUACUAGCUAAAAUUGAACUAUUACUUUGAAAUAUUAAAGGGUUAUAGUGUAAAUUUGCAAAUUUGCUACCACAUUGUAAGUGGAUAUUGAAAUUUGUCACUAUACUUUGUUUUGAUUAAUGUUAUCUACUAUACUUUAAGAAUAUGGAUAAACCCUGAAAACUCACGGUUCAAGGUUCGGGGUUUGGGUUCUGAGUUUAGGGUUCAAGAUUUAAGUUUUAGGUUUUAGGUUUGAGGUUCAAAGUUCGAGGUUCUAAAACAAAGCAAAAUUAAAAAAAAACCCGAACAUAUGUAAUAAUUAUUUCUUUUAUUACAUUUACAAUUAACUCCCAUAUUCUUAACGAAAACAAAUCACUACUAAAUUAAAUAUAAUUUUUCCUGAGAUUUGAAGCAAUUAGGUGAAUUUUAAACUUACAAAUGAUCAUAUAUGUUAAAUUUAUAAAUAUCAUAAUAAUAUUUAAAUAUGUCUGUCAUAUAUAUAUAUUUAUAUAUAUUAUAUGACUAUCUUGCUUUCAUCUUAUUAAUUAAUUAAUAUAUGUUCAUUAAAGUUGACUAACUGCUAAAUGUAUUAAUUAAAAUAUUAAAUUUCACAUUUAAUCCAUUAAUUAGCCCCCAAGAAACAAAUUAAAAUUGAAGUCACUGGUGACGUUGUUGGACCAACGUGCCAAUUUAAUAUAAUAUUUGCCUUUAUUGUCAUGUAUAUAUAUUGAUUUUUCGAUGUAUUUAUUGUGGUGAGCUCGAUAAUUAAUUUUUUAUAUUUUGUAGAUCUAUUAAAAGAACAGAUGUUGACUAUGAGUUAUAAACUUAUUUCAUACUCAGUAUGAGAAUCGAAUUUCCGAUUAUUUUCUUAAAAAUGGGAACUGAUUAUUAUUUUUGCAUUAACCAAUUUAAAGAUUGUAUUUUUUUUUUGGGAAAAUAAAAAAUUAUAUUAUCAAUCAUACCAAUUACCAAAUAAAGCCAAAUUUUUUUUCCCUGGAUUUUUCAAGUGUGCAGGACAUUCCAAAGGUAUCAGGGGGUCUAGUCAAAGGAGGGGACAUCACUUUGGCGGCUAAAUCUUAAAUUUGAUAAUUUUUUAAUUUAGUCCCUAAACUUUUUUAAUCUAUAUUAAUCCCUAACUUGGUAAUAUUUUUCUAUUUGACACAUGAGAUGACGUGGCAUUUUAAUAUGGUGCUACGCUAUGAUAGAGAUUAAAAUUGAAAAAAAUUGUCAAAUUCAAGAACUAAUGUGGAUAUGAGAAAAUUUGGAAUUCUUUUUAGGGGCUAAAAAUUAAAUUAUAAGUUCUUUAGAAGUCAAUAUAUACAUUUUAUCCUGCAUUAAUUUAUGAUUUCGUCACUUCUAAAGGGACUAAACAAAAUUUUUAUUUUCGAGGGGAUAAAGCGCAAUUUUACUACACGUUUAAUUAUAAAUUGACUAUUUAUAAUAGGAUAAAAUUGCAAUUUUCCAUUUUGGGUUUGCUCUUGAAUAACCUAUUCAUUGGUCGAUCUAAUUGCCCGAAAUUUGGGAGGAUUUGGAUAAAAAUAUUAAGCUAAUUUAAAACAUGGGCUCGGCUCGAGCUUGAACAUUCAAGGCCUGAGCUUAGCCCGACUCAUUUUUAAGUUUAUAAUAUUUUAUUUUUAUAUAUUAGGUAAUUUAUAUCACAUUAAAAAUAUAAACAUAUACUAAAUAAAUAAUACUACUCUUGAUGUAAACAUUAAAAUAAUGUUAAAAUGAUUGUCUAAAAAUUUUUAAUAAAUAAAAAAUAAAAAAAUAUUAAAUUAAAAUAAUAUAAAUAUUUUUUAAAAAUAAUAUGGACGAGUCUAAAAUAGACUUGAGUUAAUUUUUUUGCAAAUAUGGGCAGACUUGAGCAAAAUUUUAAGCUCAUAUCUUAAGUUUGGUCAAGCUUGAGAAAACAUAAAAUAUGUUAAUAUCAUACUUAGACUCUACCCGACUUGAACCCAACCUGACCCAUCCAUGAACACCUCUACUCCUGAAUAUGGGCAAAAAAAAAAUAUUAUCAAAUUUAGUUGAAUUGUAAUUAGGGUUGAAAAUUCAUUGAACUAAAACAUUUUGGUCAAAAUCUAAUUCAAAGGUUCAACCCCUAAUUUUAAUUCAAAACAAAGUGUAUCAAAGUCAAAUUUCCCCUUUUUAUCCAUUGCUCACAUGAAUUUUGUUUCAAUUUAUUAAAAAAAGUUAUUUUUAUGUUUUGUAGUGUUUGAUUUUGAGUUUGGAGGUUCAUAUGCAAUGUGGUCCACUAAUAAAUUUUGAAUGAAAAAAAUAAAAUAAUAAUCAAUGAACUCAUGUAUUUUUUUCUAGAUCUUUGAUAUAUUGGAUUUAAGCAAUAUUUGGAAUUAAGUCGGGUUAAAACUAUUUUUUAUUUUCAGAAAUUUAGUCAUCAUGUUUUUUAAAUUUUAAAAUUUAAGUCCAACUGUUAUUUUUUUGAGUUAAAUUCAUGUUCAUUACAACAUCAUUUUUUUAAUUACAUAGCUACUGAGAAUUUUUUAAAUUUUAAAAUACCAAACCAACAAAAUGAACAAAAAAAAAAUAGUUUGACCUGAAUUUUGAAAUUUGAAAAAUAAAAGAACUAAUUUUCUAGAAAUAAAAGUACGUUGAUUAAAUUUUAAAUUUUCCAAGAAUGCAGGGACUUCUGGCAUAUUUUAACAUUUUUAAUAAAUAAAUAUUAUCAUAUAAUACUACUAUUAUAUACUAGAAAAGACUUUUUUUUUUUACGAAGUUACCACUUAAUUUCAAUCACAAAUAGUACCCAACAAGGAUUUACAAUCAAAACAAAAUCAUUAUGAUGAACAAACGGACUGAAGUCGUAAUUUAUCUUGAGUUCAAGGACUAAGACCAAAAUAAACCAAACUAUAUUCCAGUUUAGGCUGCAAUAAAAUUGGACCCAUGCGGACCCUUUAAAAUUUAUAAAAUUCAAUUUUAAUUUAUUUAAAAAAUUUAAGAUUACAAACUAAUAUAGUAAAAAAUAUAUAUUUUAAUCCUAUUAAAAAAAUUAUAAUUUUAUUUUCACCCUAAAAUUAUUUCAGGAUUAAUUCUUAAUUUUCAAAUAUUUAUUACAAUAAUAAAACAUAUCACACUUUUAAAAAAAUACAAAUUAAAAAUUUGAAAAUAAUAUUAUUAAAAAAAGAGAGUCAAAACUCGAACAGUAAAACAAACGUGAAUCUAUCAUAAAUAAAAACAGAUUAUAUUAAAAAAUAGGAAAAAAAAAAACUCAUGAUGGUAUGUCAUUAUUACCAUCUAACAUGUCGAUAUCAGAAUCCUAGGUUGUCACUUUUAAGGUUCUUUAAAUUAAAAAUAAAUAAAUAAAUAAAUUGAAGAAUGAGAAUGAGGCUGUCUCAAUGAAUCCAUUCACACAUUAACAUGUUGCGGUUUCCGAUAAAUCUAAAUUAUUAUCAAUUGGGCACACAUUCAUUUAAUUUUGUCUUUAAAUAAAAUAUUAUUUUUUAAUAUUAAAUAAAUCAUUAUACAACUAUAUAGUAACACAUGUUUAUAAGCAAUAUUUUUCAGUAAAAUGGGUCUAGAUUUUUUUUUUGAGUUUUUUUUGUUUUAAAAUAUUUUUUAAUGUUUAAAUUGAUUUAUAGAUAUUGUAAUGAAAUAACGUAAAGAAUGUAAGCUUGUAAGGAAAGAAGAUAAGACAAAAAAGGUAAAAAUAUAACCGAGGCUCCUAUAUUAAGAGUUAAAUUAUAAUUUUACUGGUAAAUUAGUCGUUGUAUGUUAGCAUAUUGGUGCUUUUGAUUAAAAAUUUCAUCCAUUUGUAUUGUUAAAAACUGACGUAGCUAAUGGAAUUACUAAACAAUGAUACGUGGCACGUCAUGUUGAUGUAUAGAGACCAAUUUUUAACUGUCAAAUGGAUGGAAUUUUUAACAAAAUGAUCAGUUUGCUUUUUGAUUUAACAUACAAUGACUAAUUUACCCAUUUUUUGAAUAGAGGGGGCAAAAUGCAAUCCGACUUCUAUUUAAAUAGCUAACUUAAGCUCAUUUUAGACUCACCCAUAUUUUUUAAAAAAUAUAUAUUUAUAUUAUUUAAAAAUAUAUUUAAUGUUUACAUUAUAGUAGUAUAUAAUCUAUGUAAAAUUACAUAAAAAAAGGGGGUUGGGCUAAACUCAGACCUUAAAUGUUUAAGCCCGAGCUCAAUCCAUAUUUUAAACGGGCCCUCAUUUGUUUGCUUUUGACUUAAUGUUUCAUUCCUAAAAUUCAAAGGGCUUAAAUAUCUAUCUAUCUAUCUAUAUAGGUUUGGUUUUUAUUACUUUGGUGAAUAACAUGGACUAUCCUACAUGCAAGAAUUAGAACAUCCUAUUGCAAUACACACAUUCUAUUCUGAUUCAGACAUUCAAGGAUCAACUGUCUGCAAGCUUGAAAUAAAAGAACAGUCGAAACCACGGGAGGGACGAGUCUUGAGUGUAGGCGGUCGCCGGUUUUACGACGAUGGUUCGAGUAUUGUUUCCUCACUGUUUCUACCCCAAGGCAUGCAAUUAAAACCACUUGCUGCUACAUCAUUGAACCAUACCAGAUGGCUAUGGUUAUAUGCUGUGAUUCUCCUACAGAUAUGUAGAAUGGAUUUUCUGAGCACUUUGCAUGCAACCAAAAAACCAGACAUCUAUGUUCCAUGCCUGGACUUCAUUGAUACAUGUUCCAAGGAUCUAUAUGCCCCUUUAACCAUGUUGGGCUGGUCCAUUAUGUAUAGAGUUUAUGCCAAAGGAAUACAAGAACAGCCCCAACGAUAGUUUUAGUGAAUUGGGUCCAUUUUUGAUGAAUGGAGGACCAAAUUGUCAUUUUCAUAUAUACACAUAAAAAUUGGAUUAUUAUCGGAUGAACCGAUAGUUGAGUUAAAAAGUUGUCAUGUGUUUUUUUAUUAAUUUAUUUAUUUUUUAAUAUAAUUUAUUAACACUGAGUAAUUUUUAAUAGUGAUAAAGUAACAAUUAAUCUUUGAGAUUACAUCACGUCAUCACCUAAACAAUUAUAUUUUAUUUAUAAAAAUAAUUAGGUAAUAACAUGACACAAUUUCAGAACUUCAGAACAGUCUUUUUUUUCUAUUUUUAUAAAUCAAUAAUAAUUUACAUUUUAAUUAAAGAGGAACAUAAAUAUCCUCUCAAUUCCUCCUCCACAACUCAGAUUAUUUCACAAUUUCACAAAACAAAAAGAUUGUCACAGAAAGAUCCCAUAGUGGAUAAGCAUAUUUAUCCAUAAUUUCACUUGAUUAAAUAUCUUUUAUAUAUAUAUAUAUAAAAGUUAUAAAUUGCAACUGAAGUUACCAUUUAUUAUUAGGGGUGUAGUUAGGGGGUUGGCAGUGGCCCCGGCCCCGGCCUCGGCCCCCUAACAUUGAAAAUUUUUUAUGGGGACCCUUUAAAAAUUUUAAAAUUAGUAAAUAUAAAAUUACACUUUGACCCCCUAAAAAUGAUAAAUUUUGAUUUAAUUUUUUAAAAAUUAUAAAAAUAUAGACUAUUAAAAUAUUUAUAAAAAUUAAAAUUUGAUUUCGACCCCUCUAACAAAAAUUUCUACCUUCGCCCAUUACAUCAAUAGAAUUAAUUUUAACUCUAAAAUUAUGAUUUACUCUAUCAGUAAAUCAUUUCAUUAUAUAUAAAAUAUAAAUUUUGUAUUAAAAAAUUUACUUGUUUAUGUUUUUUCUCCUUUAAAUAUUGUCUUAGCUAUGCCAGCUAACCCGCAUGGUGCCAUUGUGUUAUAUAUAGUACACAUUCUAUAGGAAUUCAAUACCAAAUCCCUCUAUAAUUUAGCACAUCUUGUGCGCCAAAGAUCGUGCAGAAGAUGGCUAGGAUUCCUCUUCUCUUAGCUUCCAAAUUCAUCUUCUUAUCCAUUUUAUCCUCCUCAGGCGUCAUCCGAUGCACCCGAGGCGAAAACAAUGACGAUCAUGGCUUCAUCCAGAGCCUUGACCACAGUGUUGGGGAGAAACCCAGUUUUCAACAAAGUGAGGGAAAUGCCGGUGAUCGGAGGCAGCGGACUUUUCCGAUUCGCCCGAGGCUAUGUUCAAGCAAGAACUAAUACAUUAAACUUGACAACCGGAGAUGCCAUUGUUGAAUACACUUGUUAUGUGAUGCAUUAUUGAAUGUGUGACCCAUUUGCUUUGCAUUAUUAUAAAGUUAAAUUUGCUUUAAUCAUAUUGUACUGCCCCACAUUCAACUAUAUUAUGUUGGUUUAGUUUACUUGUUACACUAUAAUAAGUAAACUUUUUAAUUGGUGGAUUAGAUUGAUUUUUAAUUAAUUUAAUUCAUUUUAGGUUUUAAAAGAUUUCGAUUUUUUAAUUUUUAUUAAAAUAUCAUGCCGACUAAAAAGUCGAAAAAAAAAAGGAGUCUGUCAGACAACUGUGUGACCGUCUCAGCCAAGGUAUUGGCUGAGAACGAUCCUCUGCAGCUAAGCUGAUCCAAUAUUGAACCAUUCAGCCAAUAAUCACGCUCUGAUCACACAGCCACCAUUCAUCAACCAGACUUGGAAUCCUGUCUCCUUAGAGCUUAAGGAUAAGGAGGUACGAGCCUAUAGAACAGAUCCUGUUCAAGUAAGGUCGUAUCCUUGUAUUUCCUGAUUCUAACUUAAAUACCAUUUCAUCUUAGUGUUUCUUACCCGAUGUGGGAUUUAAUCAGCUACCGACAAAAACAGUCCGUGUCUUCCACAAUAUCUUGCUGCCAAUCAACAAUUCUUAGUUUUUUUAGCCUUUAAUUUAAAAAAAAAGAAAUGCUUUCUUUUGUCUAUCGGUUAAACUAACAAAUUAAUUUAUUUGGAGAAAAU